UUUCUACUCCCUCCGUCCGAAAAUACUUGUCAUCAAAAUGGAUAAAAAGAGAUGUAUCUAAAACUAAAAUACGUCUAGAUACAUUUCCUUUUAUCUAUUUUGAUGACAAGUAUUUCCGGACGGAGGGAGUAUUUG
rnacentral:pre_miRNA from 1 species